UUCUCGGCCGAAUUCAAGCUAUAUAUUCGUUAUAUUGACAACAUUUGCAUUAUAUGGAAAAAUGCCGACCGCACUGAGGAUAUGCAACAUCAACUUACUGAUAACAGCCUAGGACUCUCCACUAGGGUAGAACAACGCACCCAACAAGAUUUUCACUUCCUUGAUAUAAACGUAAUGGUGGAGAUGGGAGAGUAUAUAACAACAAUAUAUAGAAAGCCUACAUAUGACCCAGUUUUAAUCCCAGCAUGGUCUUGGGAUCCAAUCUCAUAUAAACUGGCAGCAUUUAGAUCUAUGAUCUCUAGGACUUUCACCCAUGUCACUAAAU
rnacentral:lncRNA from 1 species